CAGAGCCUUGAUAAAAUCACUAAAAGUAUGCUAAUUGUAAGGUCUCAACAAACAGCUAAAAAGCCAUCUCCUGAAAACUACCAUCUAUCUUCCUUCAAAGCUGGGAGGAGACAGUGAGAAGUUCCAAAUCGGCUUCCAGCAGAUCAAUAGAACAUCUUCAAGUAAAAGGAACACAUAUUUGAGAAUGUGUCGGGUUCAGCUUCUAAACAAUGGAAAGCCGGUGCUCCUGAGUGCCUCAACAGGAACUCUGAGAGGAAUACAGAAGUUCCCCUGCUCACUCAGGCCUUAGACCUGGCUAUGGCAUUUACUGGAAGUGCUCAUUGAGAAGAGAGGGAAGGGAAGCUCAAGUGUCUUUUGUAGAAGUGUGUCCAGAACAAAAUUAUAUUGGCGGCAACAAUCAGUUAAUGAAGGAAGAGGAAAAAGAAACAAGACUUUCAGCUUGAAAGGUUUGGAGACGAGCAAGAGUAGCCAGAUCUCCUCAUCCUCAGCUGAGGGCUCUCUGCAAAGACCCAGGACUGCUCGAUUUCAUUGUCAUCUCAGAUAUAAUCAAUCAUGUCACAUUAAUCUUUACCAAAUCCUGGUCAAAGAGAAAGAAGAGCAAAGCACUUCCUUUCAAGGUCAUGGACAGAGAAUGCAGGAAAUCCAGGAAUAGAACUCAGAUCUUCGGGCGCCCCUUCCAGUGCUUUCACAUACACUUUGAACAAUGAAAUGAGGAGUAUAAAGACAUAUGUCAAGGCCAAUGGGAGAUGAAACGUCAAAGGGGGUGUAUGUGAAGGGAAUCAGAUGAGAGCUGAAAAUAGAAACAGUUGAUGAGGAAAGCAAUAAAAGCCAGCUGCUCUCAGGUGGCAUUAGUCGUCAAGAGCAAUCUUGCUGGUCAAUCCACCAGUGGUACUUGAAUGCUGGUAUAAGGUGAUUAAAAGAAGUGAGUUUCAGGUGUGCAAAGAACUCAACUGGAAGACAUAAUAGAUUUUAAAUCCUAAAGUGAAUCUGAAAUCAGCUUUUGUUUUGUUUUAAGCACAGAGGGAAUCUGAUUGAAGGAACAUCUUCACUGCAGCCCAGUCAGGAGUUCACAAGGCCCUGAGAAAACCUUCUGCCUGCCUCUCCCUGGGCCUCAGAGAGUCCCACAGGCUCUGCAGCUGACAGGAGAGGCGGCUGGAAUAUGAAGAGAGGUGCAGAGGCUGUCAGCACUGGCCCAGUUAGGGAGACUUGUGUUCAUUCACUGUCUCAGCUUCAGGGGCCUUUGUAGGGAAUGGCAAUUCGCAGUGUGAAUUUCAAUAGGAUCUUUAAAUCUCUCAGAGAUUUUUCUCUUUUCUGAGGAAAUUUCCCACUGCCAAACAUUCGUAGAUUGACAGCUCUGCAGGUAACUCUCUAAUAUAGGAGUUCUUUCUUAUUCCUUACUGUACCCAGGGCCUUGUUUCCUAAAGGUUUAGGUAUACACAUAUUUUUAAAAUUUUAUUUUGAUGGAUAUUUCUUUUCUAACUGGCAUCAGCCUUAAAUUAAAAUGAAUGGACCCUGGACUCGCACAGAAAUAUUGUUUUUAUAGGUUUCUCAAAGUAGGAUGUAUUAAAGAAGACAUAUCAAGUUUCUAGAGCUUGUGUUGCCAUAGUA
ensembl:lncRNA